rnacentral:rRNA from 1 species
UAUCUCUGUAGAGUCUGCAUAUCAAUAAGCGGAGGAAAAGAAACUAACAAGGAUUCCCUUAGUAACGGCGAGUGAAGCGGGAAGAGCUCAAAUUUGAAAUCUUCAAGGUUCUACCUUGACGAAUUGUAGUUUAAAGAAGUGUUUUCUGUUAGAUGAGUAGCAAAAGUUCCUUGGAAUGGGACAUCAUAGAGGGUGAGAAUCCCGUAUUUGGUUAUUCAUUCUAGCUUUGUGAUACACUUUCAAAGAGUCGGAUUGUUUGGGAAUGCAGUCCAAAAUGGGUGGUAAAUUUCAUCUAAAGCUAAAUAGUUGGCGAGAGACCGAUAGCGAACAAGUACCGUGAGGGAAAGAUGAAAAGAACUUUGAAAAGAGAGUUAAACAGUACGUGAAAUUGUCAAAAGGGAAGCGUUUGACACCAGUGUUGUUUUUCCGAAAAUCAAUUACGAAUGGCUUGAUUUUGUGUUGUAUUGACCUUAUCAGCUUUCUGCACUUUUUUCGAGUCUUUCUUAAUGCACUUUUCGGUUAACAAGUCAACAUCAAUUUCUUUUGUUGUAAAAGAGUAUUCGGAAGGUGGCUUUCUUUUCGGAGAAAGUGUUUAUAGCCCUAUACUUCUACAAUCGGAGAGAUUGAGGUCUGCAGCGUAGAUCCUUCGGGGUUAGAUACACUUGUGCUAAGUUGUAGCUUUUCAUAGACAACUUGUUGACUAUGUUUAGUCAUGCGGCUUACUCGCUUGUGCUAUUUUACCUACGCUUAGGAUGUUGACUGAUAUGUAGUCGU